CCUGGCUCCCGAUGAACGCUAGCUACAGGCUUAACACAUGCAAGUCGAGGGGCAGCAUGGUCUUAGCUUGCUAAGGCCGAUGGCGACCGGCGCACGGGUGAGUAACACGUAUCCAACCUGCCGUCUACUCUUGGACAGCCUUCUGAAAGGAAGAUUAAUACAAGAUGGCAUCAUGAGUCCGCAUGUUCACAUGAUUAAAGGUAUUCCGGUAGACGAUGGGGAUGCGUUCCAUUAGAUAGUAGGCGGGGUAACGGCCCACCUAGUCUUCGAUGGAUAGGGGUUCUGAGAGGAAGGUCCCCCACAUUGGAACUGAGACACGGUCCAAACUCCUACGGGAGGCAGCAGUGAGGAAUAUUGGUCAAUGGGCGAGAGCCUGAACCAGCCAAGUAGCGUGAAGGAUGACUGCCCUAUGGGUUGUAAACUUCUUUUAUAAAGGAAUAAAGUCGGGUAUGGAUACCCGUUUGCAUGUACUUUAUGAAUAAGGAUCGGCUAACUCCGUGCCAGCAGCCGCGGUAAUACGGAGGAUCCGAGCGUUAUCCGGAUUUAUUGGGUUUAAAGGGAGCGUAGAUGGAUGUUUAAGUCAGUUGUGAAAGUUUGCGGCUCAACCGUAAAAUUGCAGUUGAUACUGGAUAUCUUGAGUGCAGUUGAGGCAGGCGGAAUUCGUGGUGUAGCGGUGAAAUGCUUAGAUAUCACGAAGAACUCCGAUUGCGAAGGCAGCCUGCUAAGCUGCAACUGACAUUGAGGCUCGAAAGUGUGGGUAUCAAACAGGAUUAGAUACCCUGGUAGUCCACACGGUAAACGAUGAAUACUCGCUGUUUGCGAUAUACUGCAAGCGGCCAAGCGAAAGCGUUAAGUAUUCCACCUGGGGAGUACGCCGGCAACGGUGAAACUCAAAGGAAUUGACGGGGGCCCGCACAAGCGGAGGAACAUGUGGUUUAAUUCGAUGAUACGCGAGGAACCUUACCCGGGCUUAAAUUGCAGAUGAAUUACGGUGAAAGCCGUAAGCCGCAAGGCAUCUGUGAAGGUGCUGCAUGGUUGUCGUCAGCUCGUGCCGUGAGGUGUCGGCUUAAGUGCCAUAACGAGCGCAACCCUUGUUGUCAGUUACUAACAGGUUCCGCUGAGGACUCUGACAAGACUGCCAUCGUAAGAUGUGAGGAAGGUGGGGAUGACGUCAAAUCAGCACGGCCCUUACGUCCGGGGCUACACACGUGUUACAAUGGGGGGUACAGAGGGCCGCUACCACGCGAGUGGAUGCCAAUCCCCAAAACCUCUCUCAGUUCGGACUGGAGUCUGCAACCCGACUCCACGAAGCUGGAUUCGCUAGUAAUCGCGCAUCAGCCACGGCGCGGUGAAUACGUUCCCGGGCCUUGUACACAC
rnacentral:rRNA from 1 species